rnacentral:rRNA from 1 species
GACGGAGGAUGCAAGCGUUAUCCGGAAUUAUUGGGCGUAAAGCGUCCGCAGGUGGCUGUUCAAGUCUGCUGUCAAAGCGCAGAGCUUAACUCUGUACAGGCGGUGGAAACUGAAGAGCUAGAGUAUGGUAGGGGUAGAGGGAAUUCCCGGUGUAGCGGUGAAAUGCGUAGAUAUCGGGAGGAACAUCAGUGGCGAAAGCGGCACCCUGGCAUUAGCCUGACGCUCAUGUGCGAAAGCGUGGGGAGCAAACAGG